rnacentral:tRNA from 1 species
UAGCUCAGUGGUAGAGCAUGUGCUUAGCAUACACAAGGUCCUGGGUUCAAUCCCCAG